rnacentral:rRNA from 1 species
UGCAAGUCGAACGGCAGCACGGACUGGUUUACCAGUUGGGUGGCGAGUGGCGCACGGGUGAGUAAUGCGUAGGAAUAUACCUUGAAGUGGGGGAUAACCUGGGGAAACUCAGGCUAAUACCGCAUGAGCUCUAAGGAGGAAAGCUGGGGACCUGAGAGGGCCUGGCGCUUUAAGAUUAGCCUACGUCCGAUUAGCUAGUUGGCGGGGUAAAGGCCCACCAAGGCGACGAUCGGUAGCUGGUCUGAGAGGAUGAUCAGCCACACUGGGACUGAGACACGGCCCAGACUCCUACGGGAGGCAGCAGUGGGGAAUAUUGGACAAUGGGGGCAACCCUGAUCCAGCGAUGCCGCGUGUGUGAAGAAGGCCUACGGGUUGUAAAGCACUUUCGGUGGGGAGGAGGACAAUUAGGUUAAGGGGGGAGAUUGUUGGACGUUACCCACAUAAGAAGCACCGGCUAACUCCGUGCCAGCAGCCGCGGUAAUACGGAGGGUGCGAGCGUUAAUCGGAAUUACUGGGCGUAAAGGGUGCGUAGGCGGUUUGAUAAGUUAAGUGUGAAAGUCCUGGGCUCAACCUAGGGAAGUCACUUAAGACUGUCAGACUGGAGUAUAGGAGAGGGCAGUGGAAUUUCCGGUGUAGCGGUGAAAUGCGUAGAUAUCGGAAGGAACACCAGUGGCGAAGGCGGCUGCCUGGUCUAAUACUG